rnacentral:rRNA from 1 species
AUUGAACGCUGGCGGCAGGCCUAACACAUGCAAGUCGAGCGAGUGGCGGACGGGUGAGUAAUGUCUGGGGAACUGCCUGAUAGAGGGGGAUAACUACUGGAAACGGUAGCUAAUACCGCAUACCAUCAGAUGUACCCAUAUGGGAUUAGCUAGUUGGUGGGGUAACGGCUCACCUAGGCGACGAUCCCUAGCUGGUCUGAGAGGAUGACCAGCCACACUGGGACUGAGACACGGCCCAGACUCCUACGGGAGGCAGAAGUGGGGAAUAUUGCACAAUGGGCGCAAGCCUGAUGCAGCCAUGCCGCGUGUAUGAAGAAGGCCUUCGGGUUGUAAAGUACUUUCAGCGGGGAGGCGUUAACUGCAGAAGAAGCACCGGCUAACUCCGUGCCAGCAGCCGCGGUAAUUC